GUCAGUGUGGCCGAGUGGUUAAGGCGAUUGAGUAUGUUUCUCCUUAUCUAGAACAACUUAUCGAAUCAUCUACUAACAAUCAUUAUAGCUAGAAAUCAAUUCCGUUCGCGGGCAGAGGUUCGAAUCCUCUCGCUGACG